GAUAGCUAAUACCGCAUAAUAUUAAUUAUUGCAUGAUAAUUGAUUGAAAGAUGCAAGCGCAUCACUAGUAGAUGGACCUGCGUUGUAUUAGCUAGUUGGUAAGGUAAGAGCUUACCAAGGCGACGAUACAUAGCCGACCUGAGAGGGUGAUCGGCCACACUGGGACUGAGACACGGCCCAGACUCCUACGGGAGGCAGCAGUAGGGAAUCUUCGGCAAUGGACGAAAGUCUGACCGAGCAACGCCGCGUGAGUGAAGAAGGUUUUCGGAUCGUAAAGCUCUGUUGUAAGUCAAGAACGUGUGUGAGAGUGGAAAGUUCACACAGUGACGGAGCUACCA
rnacentral:rRNA from 1 species